AGAAUCAACGCUGGCGGCGUGCCUCAGACAUGCAAGUCGAACGCGAAAGUCCCCUUCGGGGGAUGAUUAGAGUGGCGUCCGGGUGAGUAACACGUGGGUAAUCUACCUUCGGGUGGGGAAUAACAGUCGGAAACGACUGCUAAUACCGCAUAAUGCAGCGGCACCUAAUGGUGACAGUUGUUAAAGCGGGGGAUCGCAAGACCUCGCGCCUGAAGAGGAGCCCGCGGCGGAUUAGCUAGUUGGUAGGGUAACGGCCUACCAAGGCUUCGAUCCGUA
rnacentral:rRNA from 1 species